rnacentral:rRNA from 1 species
AGCGAACGCUGGCGGCAGGCCUAACACAUGCAAGUCGAACGAACUCUUCGGAGUUAGGGGCGGACGGGGGAUGAACACGUGGGAACGUGCCCGUUGGUUCGGUAUAACUCAGGUUAACUUGAGCUAAUACCGAAUGGGCCCUUCGGGGGAAAGAUUUAUCGCCAUUAGCUCGGCGCGCGUCUGAUUAGCCAGUUGGUGAUGUAACGGCUCACCAAGGCGACGAUCAGUAGCUGGUGUGAGAGGAUGCCCCAGCACGCUGGGACUGAGACCCGGCCCAGACGCCUACGGGACGCAGCAGUAUGGUGUCUUGCGCACUGAGCGCAAGCCCAGCACCGCCAUGCCGCGUAAGUGGUGCAGGUGCUAGGAUUGCAAAUUUCUUUCUCCCGAGACGAUAAUGACGGUACCCGGAGAAGAAGCCCCGGCUAACUACGUG